GAUGAACGCUGGCGGCGUGCCUAAUACAUGCAAGUCGAGCGAACGGACGAGAAGCUUGCUGCGCUGAUGUUAGCGGCGGACGGGUGAGAAACACGUGUAUAACCUACCUAAAAGAGGGGGAAAACCUCGGGAAACCGGAGCAUAUACGGGAUAAUAUCAUGAACCGUAGGGUGCAAAAGUGAAAGACGGUCUUGCUGUAACUUAUAGAUGGAUCCGCGCUGCAUUAGCUAGUUGGUAAGGUAACGGCUUACCAAGGCAACGAUGCAUAGCCGACCGCAGAGAGGGAUCGGCCACACUGGAGCUGAGACAGCGUCCAGACUCCUACGGGAGGCCCCAGUAGGGAAUCUUCCGCAAUAGUCGGGAGCCUGACGGAGCGACGCCGCGUGAGUGGUGAAGGUCUUCGGAUCGUAAAACUCUGUUAUUGGGGAAGAACAUAUGUGUAAGUAACUGUACACAUCUUGACGGUACCGGAUCAAGAAGCCACGGCUAACUACGUG
rnacentral:rRNA from 1 species